UGUACUCUUGGAAGCUGGUUUGGAGGAUAUUCUAACCAAGGCGAGAUUGCGAUCGAGCCUUGGAUCGUCUUCGACUGACUUGUGAGGACUCUUGGAGGUUACACUUGAGAAUUGAGACCUUGGGGAGCUGAUUUGGGACUUCCUUUGAACUGAUUGGAGCAUUAGUACGAGGUGGGUUUGACCUAACCAG